UACGGAGGGGGCUAGCGUUGUUCGGAAUUACUGGGCGUAAAGCGCACGUAGGCGGGUUUGUUAAGUCAGGGGUGAAAUCCUGGAGCUCAACUCCAGAACUGCCUUUGAUACUGGCAACCUAGAGACUGGAAGAGGUUAGUGGAAUUCCCAGUGUAGAGGUGAAAAUUCGUAGAUAUUGGGAAGAACACCAGUGGCGAAGGCGGCUAACUGGUCCAGCACUGACGCUGAGGUGCGAAAGCGUGGGGAGCAAACAGG
rnacentral:rRNA from 1 species